rnacentral:rRNA from 1 species
GACGAACGCUGGCGGCGUGCCUAAUACAUGCAAGUCGAACGCACAGUUUAUACCGUAGCUUGCUACACCAUAGACUGUGAGUUGCGAACGGGUGAGUAACGCGUAGGUAACCUGCCUGGUAGCGGGGGAUAACUAUUGGAAACGAUAGCUAAUACCGCAUAAUAUUAAUUAUUGCAUGAUAAUUAAUUGAAAGGUGCAAUUGCACCACUACCAGAUGGACCUGCGUUGUAUUAGCUAGUAGGUGAGGUAACGGCUCACCUAGGCGACGAUACAUAGCCGACCUGAGAGGGUGAUCGGCCACACUGGGACUGAGACACGGCCCAGACUCCUACGGGAGGCAGCAGUAGGGAAUCUUCGGCAAUGGACGAAAGUCUGACCGAGCAACGCCGCGUGAGUGAAGAAGGGUUUCGGAUCGUAAAGCUCGGUUGUAAGAGAAGAACGGGUGUGAGAGUGGAAAGUUCACACUGUGACGGUAGCUUACCAGAAAGGGACGGCUAACUACGUG